AUUGAAUGCUGGCGGCAUGCUUAACACAUGCAAGUCGAACGGCAGCACAGUGUGUAGCAAUACACAUGGGUGGCGAGUGGCGGACGGGUGAGUAACGCGUAGGAGUCUGCCUUGAAGCGGAGGACAACCCGAGGAAACUCGGGCUAAUACCGCAUAAUAUCGAGAGAUUAAAGCUGGGGCAACCUGGCACUUCAAGAGGAGCCUGCGUCCGAUUAGCUAGUUGGUAGGGUAAAAGCCUACCAAGGCGAUGAUCGGUAGCUGGUCUGAGAGGAUGAUCAGCCACACUGGGACUGAGACACGGCCCAGACUCCUACGGGAGGCAGCAGUGGGGAAUAUUGGACAAUGGGGGCAACCCUGAUCCAGCAAUGCCGCGUGUGUGAAGAAGGCCUUCGGGUUGUAAAGCACUUUUGGCAGGGAGGAAGAUGUGGAGUUUAAGAGACACUACAUUUGACUGUACCUGCAGAAUAAGCACCGGCUAACUCUGUGCCAGCCGCCGCCGUAAGAC
rnacentral:rRNA from 1 species